rnacentral:rRNA from 1 species
GACGAACGCUGGCGGCGUGCUUAACACAUGCAAGUCGAGCGGUAAGGCCCUUUCGGGGGUACACGAGCGGCGAACGGGUGAGUAACACGUGGGUGACCUGCCCUCAGCUCUGGGAUAAGCCCGGGAAACUGGGUCUAAUACCGGAUAUGACUCCAUGACGCAUGUUGUGGGGUGGAAAGCCUUGUGCGGCUGAGGAUGGGCCCGCGGCCUAUCAGCUUGUUGGUGGGGUGANGGCCUACCAAGGCGACGACGGGUAGCCGGCCUGAGAGGGCGACCGGCCACACUGGGACUGAGACACGGCCCAGACUCCUACGGGAGGCAGCAGUGGGGAAUCUUGCGCAAUGGGCGAAAGCCUGACGCAGCGACGCCGCGUGA